AUGUAUCAUCAUCGUUCACGAGACCACCUUUAUAUGCAUGUAUUUGCGGGAAAGUGCAUUCAGAAUAAUUGACAGGUGGUCGACAUUGUCAGUUUCGGUGCCGGCCGGU
ensembl:ncRNA T05B11.10 ncRNA